rnacentral:rRNA from 1 species
AGUGAACGCUGGCGGCAGGCCUAACACAUGCAAGUCGAGCGGAAGCACGGUAAGAGCUCGUUCUUACGGGUGGCGAGGGGCGGAUGGGUCAGGAAUACAUCCCAUUCUUCUUUGUCUGGGGUGAUAACGGGGGGCCACUUACGCUAACAGCGCAUAUGAUGAACGGGGGGAAUCAGGGGACCUACGGAUCUUGGGUGACCCUAUGAGCCGAUGUCGGAUUAGCUAGUUGGUGGGGUAAAGGCCCACCAAGGCGACGAUCCGUAGCUGGUCUGAGAGGAUGAUCAGCCACACUGGAACUGAGACACGGUCCAGACUCCUACGGGAGGCAGCAGUGGGGAAUAUUGGACAAUGGGCGAAAGCCUGAUCCAGCCAUGCCGCGUGGGUGAAGAAGGUCUUCGGAUUGUAAAGCCCUUUUAUUAGGGAAGAAGAGCAGUAAGUUAAUACCUCGCUGUUUUGACGGUACCCAAAGAAUAAGCACCGGCUAACUUCGUG